rnacentral:rRNA from 1 species
AGAGUUUGAUCCUGGCUCAGGACGAACGCUGGCGGCGCGCCUAACACAUGCAAGUCGAACGAGCGAGAGAGAGCUUGCUUUCUCGAGCGAGUGGCGAACGGGUGAGUAACGCGUGAGGAACCUGCCUCAAAGAGGGGGACAACAGUUGGAAACGACUGCUAAUACCGCAUAAGCCCACGGCUCGGCAUCGAGCAGAGGGAAAAGGAGCAAUCCGCUUUGAGAUGGCCUCGCGUCCGAUUAGCUAGUUGGUGAGGUAAUGGCCCACCAAGGCGACGAUCGGUAGCCGGACUGAGAGGUUGAACGGCCACAUUGGGACUGAGACACGGCCCAGACUCCUACGGGAGGCAGCAGUGGGGAAUAUUGCACAAUGGGGGAAACCCUGAUGCAGCGACGCCGCGUGGAGGAAGAAGGUCUUCGGAUUGUAAACUCCUGUUGUUGAGGAAGAUAAUGACGGUACUCAACAAGGAAGUGACGGCUAACUACGUGCCAGCAGCCGCGGUAAAACGUAGGUCACAAGCGUUGUCCGGAAUUACUGGGUGUAAAGGGAGCGCAGGCGGGAAGACAAGUUGGAAGUGAAAUCCAUGGGCUCAACCCAUGAACUGCUUUCAAAACUGUUUUUCUUGAGUAGUGCAGAGGUAGGCGGAAUUCCCGGUGUAGCGGUGGAAUGCGUAGAUAUCGGGAGGAACACCAGUGGCGAAGGCGGCCUACUGGGCACCAACUGACGCUGAGGCUCGAAAGUGUGGGUAGCAAACAGGAUUAGAUACCCUGGUAGUCCACACCGUAAACGAUGAUUACUAGGUGUUGGAGGAUUGACCCCUUCAGUGCCGCAGUUAACACAAUAAGUAAUCCACCUGGGGAGUACGACCGCAAGGUUGAAACUCAAAGGAAUUGACGGGGGCCCG